UAGUAAACAUGUGUGGCUUAAACAAUGGUCAUGGCGGUCACUUAUGAAGUAAAUGAUAACAGGUCGGAUUUAUGAAUAGAAUGAAGUUCCUAGAAAAUCUUUUGUUUUCAACAAAGUAAUAGAACUUUAUUAUUUCCACACUAACCCUUUUGCUACUGACUGUACCUUAUCUCAUUGUGGUAGUGAAGUGGGACGAGUUGACCACUAAAAAUAUUAUUUUAUUUUAUUUUCUGCAACUCGUCCCAAAUGGGCCGUAGGUAUGUGGUCCGAGUUGACUACUUAUUCGGGUCUGGGUCUGGGUGUCAAGUGCAUGUGAACUUGUAUGUUUGUAAACGCACCCACGACACGGGAGAAAAUUCCAAUGCGGGGAAACGAUUUUAUUAAACAAAUAGAAAAAAGAGUUAGACAAUGAAAAAAUAUUAGACACGCAUUUUUUAUUUUGCCAUAUAAGAUAACAAUACUGAGAUAAAACUAAUAAAAUUUUAGGAGUGGCAGCAAAUACGUCAUUUCUACUUAUAAAACGAAUAAUUUUGCAGGUAUGUUAUAUUGUUUUGUAUGUAUGUGUUUUAUCUUAUUUUUACAUUUUAUGUUAUACUAGCGACCCGCCAUAGCUUCGCAUGGGUCCAAUAGUGAUUAUUAUACAUAUAAACCUUCCUUUUGUUUCACUCUACCUAUUACAAAAAACCGCAUCAAAAUCCGUUGCGUAAUUUUAAAGAUUUAAGCAUACAGACAAAAAUAGCGACUUUGUUUAUACUAUGUACGGUAGUGAUUUUCCUAUUAACUGAGAAUAGUGUCAUCGUUAUUUUGUCCUACAGUGCAUGUUGCGACAUCUUACAAUGUUGUGGAUUUAAAUUAGUUAUUACGUAAGCGUUUAGAUAUAAGUCUGUAAGAUAGUCUAAAUAUUGAGAUGAAAUAUGAUUGUUUUUUAUUUUGAGUGUGAAAAUCAUUCAAUGUCUUCUCCCGACUUAGGCGAGGCAGGAGUCUCAGACUCUUACUAACUAAAAACCACCCUGUUCCUAUUUCUGCUUUUCGAACCGGAAGCCCCGGUAAACCCGCUAGGUAGUCCGCAGCUCCGGAUCAGGAGUCAGCCCUACUGUUACUGGUCCCCAUCUGUGGUGGUCUAAUGGCAGUUUAAACGCGCACGCGCUCGUUUCGUUUAACGUAAUCGGAACGAGAGCGCGUUCGAAGCUCUGAUUGGCCGGCUCAAAUAAACCAACUAAUCAGAGCGCCGAACGCGCUUUCGUUUCGAUUACUAUAAACGUAAACUAAACUCGUACUAAGGAUACAGAUGACCCGUGUGUUGUUUUGACAAUGUCUUGGCAUUAAAAAAAGAGUGGUAUAAAAAGAGACAAAUCUUAUAUAUAAAAAUGAAUCGCUAAAAGUGUUGGUAAGCGCAUAACUCGAGAACGCCUGGAUCAAUUUGGCCAAUUCUUUUUUUGUAAUAUUCGUCGAAGUUCAAGGAUGGUUUUUACGGCGAGAAAAUAUCAAAUAAUUGAGGGGAGAGCCCUAAAAACAGCCCUUUUCUUUAUCCCAUACAAACGUUUUCUAACUAAUACGUAGAGUCAAUUUGAGCUUUAUUGCUAUUGGAUAAAUGCUAUUGGAUACUAAAAACAAAUGCUAUUGGAUAAGUGUGCGUUGGAGACUUGAAGCACAGAAUCCCUACUAAUAUUAUAAAUGCGAAAGUAACUCUGUAUGUCUGUAAUUACGCUUUCACGCCUAAACCAGUGAACCGAUUUUGAUGAAAUUUGGUACUGAGAUAGAUUAGACCUUACUUGAUACUUUUUAUUGCAAAAAAUUGCGGAGAAUGGGUAAAAAUAGGGGAUAAAUGGUCAUAUGGAAAUUAGUCAUUUUAAAAGCUGUAACAGUAAAACUUUGUAUUUAGAUACUUAAUGAGGAACGAAAGAACAUGGGCUACUUUUUAUUGCAAAAAAAAUAGGAGAAAAUGGGUAAAAAGAGGGGAUGACUGUUCAUAUGUAAAUUCGUCAUUUUAAAAGCUGUAACAGUGAAAUUUUGUAUUUAGACACUUAAUGAGGAGCGAAAGAAUAUAGGCAAUUUUUUAAUAAAAAGGGUAGAAGGCGUAGAAUGCUCGAUAGAGGAGAUUAAUGUUUGCUUAAAAAUUCGUCAUUUUCGUUAAUACGUUGCCUGUGGCUUCACUCGCGUUCGAUUCUUAUUUAAAUACACAUAUACUUAUUUUUAACCUUGGCUACUUUUCAUCAUGAUUAUAAAAUAAUGAAUCGGCGGUCGUGGUUUCUAUGGAAUACAUAUCUUUAAAAAUGCUAACAGUAACAUAUUCUCAAGUAAUUCACAUUUUAGAUGACAUACGGCAGCAUUUUGACCACUAACACCACUACGCGGACGAAGUCGCGGGCAAAAGCUAGAUGUUUUCAAUAAAUGUACAUUUGUACAUGUCAAAUAUUUGUUGUUUCUAAAUUCAAAUUCUGUAAAUAAUGAUUGACAUUUAUGCAUAAACUAUUUGAAAAGGUUGAAUAAACAAUUGUCUGUAUUUUUUUAAAAUCUAUUGAAAAUGUUGAAAAGUGCAUUAAGCAUUAAUAGAAAUUCCUCAAAUAUUUAUGCGUGCAUUCAGAAAUAAUGACAAAUUAUCAACAGUCAUUCGUGUGUUUAGAAAUUUAUUUUGUGUAAAUUAAAGUUUCUAUUCACGUUUUCGAACAAACGAUACUUUCAAUAUAGUCUAUUGAUGUGAAUGACAUUGACAUUCGUAUUGCGCGAUUUUUAAAAUAUAUGCAAUUUAAAUGUAUAUUUUUCAAUAUUUCUGAGAGAUUAUCUUAAUAUUUUUUCGAGUUUUAAAGACUAAGAAGAUUUUUAUUUGCUAAAGUGUUUGUUAAUCAAGGUAAGUUCACAUCUUCAUAUUGAUUUUUAGUAACUUUUAGUGACUACACAAUACUACAAUUUGGUAUACAUGGUUAUGCAGAAAAUGUAUGAGAGCUUUUUAUUUUCAGUUGGAAUUUCGUUUUUAACAAUGCUACCAACCAGACGUACAAGCUUAGGCCGCAGAACUCGAAAUACGGCAAGUCAAAGAAAUAUAAGAGCAAAUCAAACUGAUGAGCAACGCGAAGCGCGAAAUGAACUUGAACUGAAUCGAUAUCAAGAUAGAAAUGUUGUGUUUAAUCCCCACAAAGCUGCAUUCAGUUAUAAUGUGGCAGUUCAGAGCAAAUUGUUGCUAUUGGACUAAUGAACAUUGUGUGUCCACAUUGGGAUUGAAAUUCAAAAAUGAAGCCUCUGGAUUGUGCUGCGCCAGCGGCCAAGUCGAAUUGACGCCAUUGGUACCGCCACCAGAGCCACUACAUUCAUUGGUUAAUUUUUUUACUCAUAUCCAGCAGUACAAUAAUUGCUUUCAGAUGACAUCAUUUGGGGCAACAAAAGUUAUACGAGACAAUUUUAUGCCUACUUUUAGUAAAUUCAGGGAUUCAAAUAUAUCAUCAAACAGGUUCCUUAUUGCCAGUGCCUGUUGAAGACUGUACAU